AAUCAACGCUGGCGGCGUGCCUAACACAUGCAAGUCGCACGAGAAAGGGUAGCAAUACCUGAGUAAAGUGGCGCACGGGUGAGUAACACGUGACUAAUCUACCCUCGAGUGGGGAAUAACUGAGAGAAAUCUUAGCUAAUACCGCAUAACACUUACGAGUCAAAGCAGCAAUGCGCUUGGGGAGGAGGUCGCGGCCGAUUAGCUAGUUGGCGGGGUAAUGGCCUACCAAGGCGACGACGGGUAGCCGGCCUGAGAGGGCGACCGGCCACACUGGGACUGAGACACGGCCCAGACUCCUACGGGAGGCAGCAGUGGGGAAUCUUGCGCAAUGGGCGAAAGCCUGACGCAGCGACGCCGCGUGAGGGAUGACGGCCUCGGUUGUAACUA
rnacentral:rRNA from 1 species